GCAUUUUACUGUUCCUGUACUCAAAGCAAUCCGAGGUGGGGAUCAUACCACCAACGCUUUACCAAUAGAGUAGUGUUUAAUGCUCUAGACUUGAGUAUAAUUUUAUUUAUUUUAUGCUAUAUUUUAUCAUAUUGAGAGCACUAUUGUUGUCCUUUUAUCCUAUUUUGGAGCCCUGGAUAUCCAGACUGUAUUGACGGACAAACCUCUCCUGCAUAUGCCAUUAGCGGGGAUUAUACCGCUGUACACCCUCUACACUAGAGCUGGUCAUAGCUCUUGUAAAUGUGAGUGCACUACCAUCUUUUUACAAAUAUCUCAUCUCUGGAUCUCAACUUAUUGCAAUAUUGGCUGCUUUCGUAUCUCCCUCUUGUCUCCUUACAUAUACGAACAUCUUGAGCCACUCUGAUGGACCUAUUCCUGAGGUAAAGUCUUCACAAGCACUUCUGACCCUACCCUGCUGCUCUAGUGAGAUUCUUUUUUUGGAC